GGGUUGUGAGGUUAAGCGACUAAGCGUACACGGUGGAUGCCCUGGCAGUCAGAGGCGAUGAAGGACGUGCUAAUCUGCGAUAAGCGUCGGUGAGGUGAUAUGAACCGUUAUAACCGGCGAUUUCCGAAUGGGGAAACCCAGUGUGUUUCGACACACUAUCAUUAACUGAAUCCAUAGGUUAAUGAGGCGAACCGGGGGAACUGAAACAUCUAAGUACCCCGAGGAAAAGAAAUCAACCGAGAUUCCCCCAGUAGCGGCGAGCGAACGGGGAGGAGCCCAGAGCCUGAAUCAGUGUGUGUGUUAGUGGAAG
rnacentral:rRNA from 1 species